rnacentral:rRNA from 1 species
AUUGAAAGCUGGCGGCAGGCCUAACACAUGCAAGUCGAGCGGAUGAGGAAAGCUUGCUUUUCGAUUCAGCGGCGGACGGGUGAGUAAUGCCUAGGAAUCUGCCUGUUAGUGGGGGAUAACUCGGGGAAACUCGGGCUAAUACCGCAUACGUCCUACGGGAGAAAGUGGGGGAUCUUCGGACCUCACGCUACCAGAUGAGCCUAGGUCGGAUUAGCUAGUAGGUGAGGUAAUGGCUCACCUAGGCGACGAUCCGUAACUGGUCUGAGAGGAUGAUCAGUCACACUGGAACUGAGACACGGUCCAGACUCCUACGGGAGGCAGCAGUGGGGAAUAUUGGACAAUGGGCGAAAGCCUGAUCCAGCCAUGCCGCGUGUGAAGAAGGUCUUCGGAUUGUAAAGCACUUUAAGUUGGGAGGAAGGGUAUUCACCUAAUACGUGGGUACUUUGACGUUACCAACAGAAUAAGCACCGGCUAACUCUGUGCCAGCCGCCGCGGUAACAC